GAAGCUGGCCAAGCCUUCUAACUGCAGGCUGAUGGGCUGACUUGGAGCUCCCAAAAACCCCUCCAGGGAGCCCCUGAGCCCCCUCUGUUGCCUCAGGGAGGUCCCCAGCCCUUCGCUGCCACCCCUCGAUGGCCAUCCCUUGGCCCCACUGCCCAGUGGCUUCUACUGGCACCCUGGGGGGGGGGGGGCUAAUGCCCUGGGCUAAUCCCCUAAUCCCUUCCUCCCCCAUCCUCCUCCCACAUCCUCCAGGGGGCAGCAGCCCGGGAGCCUGAGGCCUAGGAGCAGCUUGGAGUCAGGCCCAGUGCCCUCCGACCUUCUCCUGAUGAGCUGGGCUCCUGCGGCUGAGGCGGCCAAACCUCCCUGAAGCCCUAGGGAGCCCCAUCUCCUCCCCCCCCCCCGCCCCGGCCUUGCUCCCCCCUGUGGAGCUGCUGGCCGCCCGGCAGCUGAAACCUGCCCUCUGGGGGCCUGUGGAGACGCUGGCUGCCCGGCCACCUGCUUGGGAGCCUCCCCGAGGAGUCAGUGACAUGUCUGUUCAUCUGGGAAGUGGGAGGAGCCAUAAACCACACUUGUCCAUGGGGGAAGUGGCUAGCUCGGCUCCCCUCAGUCUCCUGGGGCGGCUGAGAGGAUGGAGGAGAGGAAGACAUAGAAGGGGGAGUGCUCCCAAACCAAGGUGGCCACGGGCAGUUGGGGACCAGCCUUGUUGGGCAUCCGCUGGGCAUGCCCUGAAAAGAGCUGGGAUGCAGAGAGGGUACUGCCAGGUAUUUGAGACCACCUUGAACAGCGGAGCCCACUCUCCCGAGGUGCCAUUGGAAGAAUAAAACGUGAGCCAGUCCUGGCUGCAGGAUACAGAAGAGUCUGCUUCCGGGCCAGUUUGUCCUUGGAGGAUACUUCCACCUCCCAGGCCCUCAGGUUGGAAACCUUGGAGUCGCCCUGGACACCACACUCUCUCACCCACUAUCUCUCAGCCAUGUGCCAAGGCCUGUGCCUGUCACCUUGGCAGCAUCUUUCCCCUGCUACCCCAACCCUCCUCCCAGACCCUCCUUCAGCCAUACCUGGACCCAGACUGAGGCAGUCCGAGUUUCUGCCUGUCUCACUCCAGCCCCAUUCUGGGACUCAGUGAUCCUGCUAGCUCUGGGCCCCCCUCCCCCAAUGUACUCCAAGACCAAAUGAAAAAUUCGGUUUGUUAUCUAAGUCGUUCAUCACGUGAGCCCCUCUCUUGGUCUUCUUACUGCCCCCCCCCAAUAAAAGAACACCCUCCAAGAGGUACCUGUCUCCAGACACAGAUUGCCUCCCGGCUGUG